UACGUAGGGGGCUAGCGUUGUUCGGAAUUACUGGGCGUAAAGCGCGCGCAGGCGGCCAUCCAAGUCAGUGGUGAAAGCCCGGAGCUCAACUCCGGAACUGCCAUUGAAACUGGUUGACUAGAGUACGAGAGAGGUGAGUGGAAUUCCCAGUGUAGAGGUGAAAUGCGUAGAUAUUGGGAGGAACACCGGUGGCGAAGGCGGGUCACUGGCUCGUUACUGACGCUGAGGCGCGACAGCGUGGGGAUCAAACAGG
rnacentral:rRNA from 1 species